UAGAAUAGAGUUUGCAGAAGA
ensembl:piRNA 21ur-1332 ncRNA